rnacentral:misc_RNA from 1 species
CCGAGAGAGGGCGCCCCGCGCGCCCGACCUCCCCACCCUUUGAUCAUGACCACUCUGUUGCCUCGGGGGUCGACGCCCGUCGCCCCCCGGUGGGCCACCAACCAAACUCUGCAUCCCUGCGUCGGAGUCGUACGUUUAAUCGUCACA